UACGGAGGGGGCUAGCGUUGUUCGGAAUUACUGGGCGUAAAGCGCACGUAGGCGGAUAUUUAAGUCAGGGGUGAAAUCCCGGGGCUCAACCCCGGAACUGCCUUUGAUACUGGGUAUCUGGAGGUCGAGAGAGGCGAGUGGAAUUCCGAGUGUAGAGGUGAAAUUCGUAGAUAUUGGGAAGAACACCAGUGGCGAAGGCGGCUCUCUGGACCGAUACUGACGCUGAGGCGCGAAAGCGUGGGGAGCAAACAGG
rnacentral:rRNA from 1 species